rnacentral:rRNA from 1 species
GUGGGGAAUUUUGGACAAUGGGCGCAAGCCUGAUCCAGCAAUGCCGCGUGCAGGAAGAAGGCCUUCGGGUUGUAAACUGCUUUUGUACGGAACGAAACGGUCCUGGCUAAUACCUGGGGCUAAUGACGGUACCGUAAGAAUAAGCACCGGCUAACUACGUGCCAGCAGCCGCGGUAAUACGUAGGGUGCGAGCGUUAAUCGGAAUUACUGGGCGUAAAGCGUGCGCAGGCGGUGCUGUAAGACAGGCGUGAAAUCCCCGGGCUCAACCUGGGAAUUGCGCUUGUGACUGCAGUGCUGGAGUGCGGCAGAGGGGGAUGGAAUUCCGCGUGUAGCAGUGAAAUGCGUAGAUAUGCGGAGGAACACCGAUGGCGAAGGCAAUCCCCUGGGCCUGCACUGACGCUCAUGCACGAAAGCGUGGGGAGCAAACAGGAUUAGAAACCCUAGUAGUCC